CAGGCAAAAAGUUAAUGGCGAAGUGUCGAAUGCUUAUCCAGGAGAACCAAGAGCUUGGAAGGCAGCUGUCCCAGGGCCGUAUUGCACAGCUUGAAGCAGAGCUGGCUUUACAGAAGAAAUACAGUGAGGAGCUUAAAAGUAGUCAGGAUGAACUGAAUGACUUCAUCAUUCAACUUGACGAAGAAGUAGAGGGUAUGCAGAGUACCAUUCUAGUUCUUCAGCAACAACUGAAGGAAACACGGCAGCAGUUGGCUCAGUACCAACAGCAGCAGUCUCAAGCUCCAGCCCCAAGUACUAGCAGGACUACAUCUUCUGAACCUGUAGAACAGGCAGAGGCCACAAGUAAAGACUGCAGUCGUCUGGCAAACGGACCAAGUAAUGGAAGCUCCUCCCGUCAGAGGACGUCUGGGUCUGGAUUUCACAGGGAGGGGAACACAACCGAGGAUGAUUUUCCUUCUUCUCCAGGGAAUGGUAAUAAGGCCUCCAACAGCUCAGAGGAGAGAACUGGCAGAGGAGGUAGUAGUUACGUAAACCAACUCAGUGCGGGGUAUGAAAGUGUAGACUCUCCCACGGGCAGUGAAAAUUCUCUCACACACCACUCAAAUGACACAGACUCCAAUCCUGACCCUCAAGAGGAGAAAGCAGUGAGUGGGAAAGGUAACCGAACUGUGGGUUCCCGCCACGUUCAGAAUGGCUUGGACUCAAGUGUAAAUGUAUAGGGUUCAGUUUUGUAAUAUUUUUCCAACAAAUUUUAUACAGUGUCUUUAAUUUGGGAGAGGAUACUGUCCAGAAAAUUAAUGCAUACUUUUGUCACAAUUUGCCUUUUCGUGGGUGUGUGUUUUUGUUUUGUUUGGUUCCUUUUUUUUUUUUCCCCUUCCCCAACCCCCUGCUUCAAUACCUCUGCCACUUUGAAAAUUGUAACAGUUAAUUACUUUGAAUGUUGCUAAAAGGACAUUUUGUGUAGGGUCAAGUUAUUUUUAUAUGAGUUAAUGUGAAGUUGUAAAUGGGAAUCUUUCCAUAAAGUAUAACAAUGGUAUCUGUAUAUAUCUGUGUCUAUCUAGAACCUGUGCUGUGUGAGGGCAUUCUUAUCCAUGCUGUUAUAUACAUAACACACCAUUCAGACUUGUUAGAGUAGCUGUGGGUUUAUGACUGCCAGGUUUGCCCAGUACAGUAGUUUUUAUCACUAAAAGUUGGACUUGUUGAUGGAGUCCUAUAGUAGUUUCAAUGUUAGAUACAGUUUUUUCCACCAUACAUCUGUGCAUUUAUCUUUAGGUGACUGAAUGUUUAAGAAUUUGUGUGCAUAGUUACUCAGUUUUUAUGAACUGUUGUAUCCUGUUAGUGCAUAUUGCUCUGUGACUCCAGUAUACCUUACCUGUACUGACCAAACCUAAAUAAAGAUUUUUAUUGUAAAAA